rnacentral:lncRNA from 1 species
UUCGAGCCUAUUUAACAUAUAAGCACGAACUAAGGGAAGGGAAACGUUUUAAUCAAACAUUUAUUGUGCCUAUAAGUGCCUAUUUCGAGCUUCGUGCCUAUAUCAGCUUUUCAGCGCCUAAAAAUGCCUUUUCGCGUUCGUCGAGUACACGUUUUGCUUAAAUGAGCUGUUCAUACGGAGGAAAACAAGAAGCAUUUAGUGUGGCGAUAUUAACUUCAACAGGUAUAGUGUACUAG